GAGCCAGGGGAUCACCCGAUAAGAUUGGAACAGAGAAGUUUUGAAUGGCUCCUGCGCUAGGAUGACACGCGCAAAUCGAGAAGUGAACCCAAGCUGA
rnacentral:snRNA from 1 species